CACGUAGGGGGCAAGCGUUGUCCGGAUUUAUUGGGCGUAAAGAGCUCGUAGGCGGCUCAGUAAGUCAGGAGUGAAACCUCCAGGCUCAACCUGGAGACGCCACCUGAUACUGCUGUGGCUAGAGUCCGGUAGGGGAGCGUGGAAUUCCUGGUGUAGCGGUGAAAUGCGCAGAUAUCAGGAGGAACACCAGCGGCGAAGGCGGCGCUCUGGGCCGGAACUGACGCUGAGGAGCGAAAGCGUGGGUAGCAAACAGG
rnacentral:rRNA from 1 species